UACGGAGGGAGCUAGCGUUGUUCGGAAUUACUGGGCGUAAAGCGCGCGUAGGCGGCUUUGUAAGUUAGAGGUGAAAGCCCGGGGCUCAACUCCGGAAUUGCCUUUAAGACUGCAUCGCUAGAAUUGUGGAGAGGUGAGUGGAAUUCCGAGUGUAGAGGUGAAAUUCGUAGAUAUUCGGAAGAACACCAGUGGCGAAGGCGACUCACUGGACACAUAUUGACGCUGAGGUGCGAAAGCGUGGGGAGCAAACAGG
rnacentral:rRNA from 1 species